AUGUUUCCAAGUGCUGCAUUCAAUGCAAAGAGGCCACAAAAGAAUAUCAAUCAAAAUAUCAAACCAACACGAAUUCACAACUUCAACACACAACAUAACAACAACGUAAUCAUGUGGCUACCAAUAAACCUUCAUCCAAAAUUACCUGCACACGAUGGAACCGUUACAACAACUAUUAACAUGCAUGAAAAUGCAUUGAAGCCACCCAUAUGA